rnacentral:rRNA from 1 species
AAUAAAUUAUUAUAGAAAUUUAAGUUUAUUUAAUGUAAAUUAUAUAUUUUGAAAAAUAAAAUUUUUGUUUAUAUAGUAUAAAUGGUAUAGAUUUAUUGUUUAUUAUAGUACUGUAAAGGUUGUAUAUUUUAAUUUUUUUAUAGUAGAUAAAGUAUUCGUACCUUUUGUAUAAUGGUUUAAUGAUAUAUUUAGAUUUUAAUAUAAAUUAAUCUCGAAUUGAAAAGAUUUACUUAAUAUAUAUUAUGUUAACGUUGUAUAGUUAUAUAUUUAGUAUUAAGUGGUAAUAAUAUAUUUAUCGAUUUUCAGGAUAGCUAGUUUAUAAUUUAAAAUAUUUAAGUAUUGGAUUAUUAAAAUAAUUUUGUUUAUUUAAUAUUAUUUAUAAUAUAAGGGAUAAGCUUUAUAUUAUUUUAUAGAUUUAUUUAUGUAUAAUUAAUAAUUAAAGUAGAGUUAAUAAUGUUUUUCUUUUUAAGUAGUUUAAAUUAUAUAUAUAAAAAAUUUCAGGUAUAAUUGUGUUAUAAAUGUUUUUAAAUUAAUUAUUAAAUAAAUAUAAUGUUAAUAUAAGUAUUAUAGAAAUUAUUAAUUUAAUUGUUUUAAUUGUAAAUUAAAAGUGUACAAUUUUUAUUUUGAAUUAAGUAAAAUAAAGGAAUUCGGCAAAUAUCAAUCUCGCCUGUUUAACAAAAACAUGUCUCUUUGUAAUUUGUAAAUAAAGAGUCGGGCCUGCUCGGUGAUAUAAUUUAACAGCUGCGGUAUUUUAACUGUACUAAGGUAGCAUAAUAGUUUGCCUUAUAAUUUGAGGCUAGAAUGAAUGGUUUGACGAAGGUUGAUCUGUCUCUAUUUUAUUUAAUAGAAAUUAAUUUUUGAAGUGAAAAAGCUUGAAUUUUUUAAAGGGACGAGAAGACCCUAUUGAGCUUAUAAUUUUAGUUUUAUUAUGUUUAGUAUUAUAUAAAUUUUAAUUGGGGUGAUUAAGGAAUAAAUUAAAUAAUUAAGUAGUAACUUCCUUAAAUAUAUAUAUAGUUAUAUUAAUUAACCAAUAAUUAUAUUGCUUAUAUUGUAGUUACCAUAGGGAUAACAGCGUAAUUUAUUUAGAAAGUUCUUAUUGAAAAAUAAGAUUGCGACCUCGAUGUUGGAUUAAAGUAACCUUAAGGUGUAGAAGCUUUAAAAGGUAAAUCUGUUCGAUUUUUAAAACUUUACAUGAUCUGAGUUCAGACCGGCGUGAGCCAGGUUGGUUUCUAUCUUUUAAAAAUUGUUUAUAGUAUCUUUUAGUACGAAAGGAUCAAAGUUUACUAAAUUAUUAAUUAUAAUUUUUAUGUAUUAUAAAUGAAUCUAAUUGAUUUAGGUAUGUUAAUAAGUUUACAUUAAAAGUU